rnacentral:lncRNA from 1 species
CUCUAUCCUAACAAAUACAUUUUUUGAUGUGGGUGUAAACCUAAUUUCCCUGUGCAUAAUGCUAGUGCCUCUGGAGUGUGCAGAGCUGGCUGGAAUGUGCUCUAAGUGGUUUGGGAAUAAAGGCUUUUCUUGUCAUUAUUUGCAGUCUGUAGUAUUCAGCUGCCAACCCAUGCCAUAUUAUUUGUGUGAUGCUUGGUGACAGUCUGUGUUGAGUUUUAGCUAUGAUUUUUGACAUAAUUUAAUGAGCUGGAAUGCCAUUUUCCCCUGUAAGAAAUAUGUACAUAUUUUCAAUGCCAGUGAAAAGUUGUUUAUUUUAUACAUGUAUUAUUUUUCUGAAUCCAGAAUGUCUACUCUUAACAAAUAUUAACAUUAUAUGUUCAGUAUGUAAAAUGUACUUUUUUCCCCACUCGCAUUUAUGAGAGGUUUAGUCUUCAGUAUAAUUGAAGGAAGAAAAUGUACCUACCUGGUUGCACAAGGGUUUGCUUCUUUCCUACUCUUCCUAAUUAGCUUUUAACAAGCUGUCAAUCUUCCACUCUAUAUGUUGCAUUUGUAAAGAAAGGACAAGGAUGAGUUGCAAUCUCCCUGUGAAAAUAGACUGUGCUUCUUAAGGCAGGUAUCUCCAGGCUGUCAGGGUAGGGCUUAGCCCUACAACUUUGAGUCAAAUACAAUAUGAUUUUUGCCUGGUGCCAUAAACUGAUGCUGAGCAUAUGUUUAUGUGUCUGUGCCAUCUGCCCUUUUCCUUAGAGAUGUCAUCAGCUUUUUCCUCACAGACUCACUUUAACACAACAGGAAAAGGCCCACCUAAUACUUUUCCUUUUGUUAAAUUAGAGUUUAGAAAUGCAAAUUAUUUUUUUCUAAUAAAAGAAGUAAUACACGUUCAGUGUGAAGGAUGUAAUUCACAAAAAUUUACCCAAUAAACCAAAAUCACUUCUUAAUCAAUCAUGCAGAGAUAACCAAUUUAAUAUUUUAAUGCAUUUCUUUGGGCAUUUAGAUAAUGAUUUGUGUUUGGUUGUGUGUGUGUGUAUGUGUGUGUGUACAAAUAUUUGUUUUCUUCAUAGGAAGGUUGCAUUUUACAUAUUAUUUUUGUAGCAUGUAUUUUUAUUUAGCAAUAGUUUAUGAACAUUUCCUUUGUCAAUAGUAUUGUUUACAGCACUAUUUUUAAUAUCACUCUAGCAUGAGGCAAUACAGUAAUUUACUUAACCCUCUAUUAAUGGAUGUUUAGGUUAUUUUUCAGUUUUUGCUGUUCAUAAAUUAUCUCUGUGCGGUUCACCUCAUGUUUUUAGUAUAGAUACCUAGCCAUGAUAUUAUUGGAUCAAACACUAUGUACAUGUUGGAUCUUUUAUAUCGAUUGCAAACUGCCCUACCGAAAGAUUAACUCAUCUUGUACUUCCGCUAGCAGAGAAUGAAAGUCUCUUCCUAUUCACUGUCCUCUACUCAGUGGGACUCUCAUUAUCUUUAACCAUUGCCAAUAUGUCCAUUGAAAUAUGGAAUCUUGUUUCUUUAAUUUACACUGGGUAUGUUAGUUAAAUUCUCCAAAUUUUAAUUUCUUUAUUUAUAUAAUGAGAUUAUUUACCUCAGAGCCUAAUGUGAGAAUUAAAUGAAAUAAGAAAUGUCAAGCACAUAGCACAGGGUCAAGAACACAAGGCAUGUAACUAAGCUGUUAGCUGUUGAUUUUAUCAUUACGGCAGAGACAAUGCCAGAUUAUCCAACAUGUGUUUUGUUGAUUUGCAAGACCUGACUUU